CGGCGAGGAGGCCGAGGGUCUGGGAGUGCUGCGGCCGCCAGAACCGGCCGGCGGCGCGCAGCCGCUGCGGCAGGAGCAGCGGCCUGGAGACGGCGCCGGCAACGACGACGUCAAUCUGCAGUACCCCAACGAGAUGGUCAAAGAUGAGGGGCCCGACCUGGCCGAGGACCAGGGCCAGGCCAAGGACGUGGCGCUGAUCCGUGGCCUGCAGGAGCUCUCCAACAAGAGCGGCAAGGCGGAGGACCUGGUCGGACCGGCCGACAAUGGCGGCGACGGCGCCCCUGCCGUCGAGCUGGGGCUGGAGCCG